GGAUCAAUGAUGACACCAAGUCUCUGAGGACAGUGAUCAACUCAUACCAAUGGCAAUCUGAAUUUCAGAUAGGAGAUCC